AGGAAUCAAGGUCCUAGCCUCAGAUCACUAUUCUGCAGAAGCCCUGCUAGUUUCCAGGGUCUAGAAACGCCACACUACCCUCUAAGCAGCCACUUCCAGCCUCACUUGUGGUCCCCUGACCCCCACUGACCCUCCCUGCCACAAGCAGGCUUUCUCCUGACUCAUCGAGGUAUAGAUACCCUGCAAGGCGGAGGUCAGCCGAGCAGCCUCCUGGCCAGCUCUAAGGAGCACUCUGCAUAAACAGCCCUACCACUAAUGAGAGCUUCCAAAGUAGCCUGCUCCCUGGGGACCCGGACUUCCAGUUCUCAGCAGCCAUGUGGGAAGGGAAAUGUUCCAGAGGCAUCCUGGUAGAGGUAGUCGGAGCCUAAGGUGAGAACAGGAGAGGAAGGAAUCCUAAGAAGGGUUGCAAGAGGAAUGCCGCUCUGCCUUGGGAGUCCUCAUGCCUCCCACCCCCGAUGCCAGGUCAACACAACGCUUGCCCAUCACAGGAUCAGAGUUGAAGGGAUGCCAGAGUCAUGGAUCUGGGAAAGAGGACCUGGGCCUCGGCCUGCUGCAUAGUGACAAGGCUGUCUGGGGAGCUGCUGAGUAUGAGCAAGCGUACAGUCCUGACAUCUGGAGAGACGUCUGUCAGUUUGGGCCACUGUGAGGGUUAUAAUUCCUCAGAAGAGCAGGGCUCCAAUGACGUGGAGCCUCAGAGCCUCAGCUCUGGACCUCUGCUUACCCUGUCCAGCUCCGCUGCACAACAGAAGUUUUCCUCCAGCACAGGAAGUCCAGAGUCCAUGGCCUUAGCGGGAAGCUCAUCUGCCUCCUGUACAAGUUUGCUUCCUCUAAUAAAGGGCUGGGGACCCUGAGGUCCAUCGCCCGGCCUGGGACAGGCCCCUAGAGGAAGGUAUUGGGGUCCUACUCCACCAGGGGCAGCCUAAGCAGAGCCUCUUCUUCACACCCCUAGAGUGUUAUAGGGACCCUGGUACAGCAGAGCCUCACUCCCUCUGUUAGAAUGCCCCCUCCCGCUGAGGCUGUUGUAAGGAGGUCUCUUGCUUUUUUUCCCCUCCAUCUCAGGAGCAAUUUCAGUCAACUCCUGAAAAGGAACUCAGAAAGGACAUAGAAAAAAAAAAAUAUAUAUAUAUAUAUAUAUUCUUCUCAGAAGCCCCUUUUACCCAGUAUCCAGUCUAUGUAAGUAGACAUAUAAGAAAGAGGUAUAGAGGGUUAAGGACCCCUAAAACUUAAGGCUCGAUAGGGGGAAACGUAAUGGUACUCCAUACCUGAGGCCCCUGAAGAUAGAGAAAUUACUACCACCUAUUGCUGCUCCUUAUAUCUGGUUCUGGGGCCCUGAGCUGGUUCAUCUGGGAGGACCACCACAAACUGUCUUUGCACCCUGCUUCAUCAACCUCAACAGCCCAGCUGCAAUGCCCAAAACCGCUUCAUGUCCCAGUCUAUGUGGCCUGUUGGUCAGUCCCUCCCAAAGCUAACCCCCUCCCUUAUAUGCCCAGAGUCUUCCAAACAGCUUUGCCUUUGCUGAGAGAGGUGGAUGAGCCAACAGAGUAAACACCAGGAGAAGUGGCGUGGCCCGUUUGGACUGCCAUGGGGAAAGGAGAGUCCCUUCCAGCCAGAGGGAGACAUGGAAGUUUGGAUUCAGAUCUAGAUCAUGAAGUAAGGGAGGUUUUGACAUCCAUCACUCAGAACAAUGUGGACCAGAAGGACCACAUGAGAAGACCAUCAGACUUGUAGAAGCUUCAAGCACCUGAGUCCCACACUCCUACCCAAGAGCUAUCCCAGGAUGGCCUCCUGCCACUCUGCUCUCCCAGGGGUCAGCCUGCAGGGAAGCAGCUACAACCUACAGUGGGGAAAUGGGAAAUGGGCACCAUCGUACCAGCAGUGACUCGAGAGUUUAGCUGCCUGGGGUAAGAGGUACAGGGUGGAACAGGGAGGGUAGGUUGGAUUUGGAAUCCAUCCGCAUCUGCAAGCCCGAGCCACCUUUCACCCUGCAGGGGCCUACCUUCUACCCCAUGCACACAGUGCUCUGUGGAGUGAUGCUAACAAGCACGGGAGCUAGUACUUUGUUUUCUGUUUUCAAUGUUCUUUCUUGGCAAAACAGAAAGCUGGCACCCGGAGACAGGAACUAAACUUGAUUUUUUGAAAUUUU
rnacentral:lncRNA from 1 species